UUAGAUUUAUUACUCCAUCAAAUUGAAAACAACAUACAGGCUACCAGAGUCUUGAUUUCAUCCCAUGUUUGCAUCAAAAAAGAAACAAGCACAACUGCAGACAUGUCAGACCAGGAGCCCAAUUAGAGAAUGGAAGAAUAGAGAUGCAUUGGAAACCUUGGGAUAUGUGGCUGUGCUCCUCAAACAGUGCAGAAUCAGUUCAACCCAGCUCAAAACACUGGGAAGAGAGAGAAGGAGUGAGGAGAAUGGGUCCUACUACUGACAGUACUGUCUCUGGUCAUGUGAGGGGUCUGCUGAUGGAGAAAGGUCUCCUAGAAGUCCAGCCACAAGCAGAAACAUUACUGCAAUCAGGUGCUCUACAAAGAAUACAGUCACCUUUUUCAACAUUAUAAAAGUAAUCACUCGCUUGCCAAGCUCAUCUUGAAUUAAGGGCAAGCUCCUAUUUCUUUAUACUAAAAAUGCUUUUUAUGGGUCCAACCUGAACCACUCACAAAUGAAAGCUUCAUGAAAAGUGAAGUGAGAAGGUCAACUGCCUGCAGCAUCACCUACAACAGACCUAACGAAGGGCCACCAGAGCUCCUGUGGGGUAUACUGAGCGUGACUUCCUACUGAACACAUUGAAGAAGCACCCACCCAGCUGAUCCUCUGGCAGCACCUUGCCCGCACUGGAAUGAUGCUGUAACAGGGAUAAACACACUCCCAAAACAAACCUGGAGAAAAUAAUUAUUAACAAUCAAGAUCAAAGUACAGGUAAUGGAAAGCAUGUGUACCUUUUGAGACAGCUGCUCUGUACAGAGCUUUUAUUGCUACCUGUUAUACCUCAAGCCAUAAAACCAAUUGUUUUUGCAAAGUCAAAUAAUACAGACCCCUCAAACAUCAAGGGCACCAAUUUUAAGUUCAUGGAAAGAAGCCAAAAUGCAGUUCAAUCACUGCAGUAGGUAAAGUAUGCUGACAUUUGAACGGUGCAGCACAAGAACUGAUGGGAAAAUUGGGAAGGCCCUUUGUCUCAGAGUGCAGGAUGGCAGCAGUUUCCAACACAGUGCAGCCAAUUGACAAGAGCAAAUCUGGAGCCCACAGAAAAUGCAGCAUAACAAAGCUCCUCU
rnacentral:lncRNA from 1 species